rnacentral:rRNA from 1 species
UGGGGAAUAUUGGACAAUGGGCGCAAGCCUGAUCCAGCCAUGCCGCGUGGGUGAUGAAGGCCCUAGGGUUGUAAAGCUCUUUUGUGCGGGAAGAUAAUGACUGUACCGCAAGAAUAAGCCCCGGCUAACUUCGUGCCAGCAGCCGCGGUAAUACGAAGGGGGCUAGCGUUGCUCGGAAUCACUGGGCGUAAAGGGUGCGUAGGCGGGUCUUUAAGUCAGGGGUGAAAUCCUGGAGCUCAACUCCAGCACUGCCUUUGAUACUGAGGAUCUUGAGUUCGGGAGAGGUGAGUGGAACUGCGAGUGUAGAGGUGAAAUUCGUAGAUAUUCGCAAGAACACCAGUGGCGAAGGCGGCUCUCUGGCCCGAUACUGACGCUGAGGCACGAAAGCGUGGGGAGCUAACA